AUGAAAACAUGACUCACAGGAAAGUGAUAAACCUAUUUGGAUAUUGACAACAAUUGAUAAUUAAGAGGGAACUGGCCAGCUUAGAUGAAAGUGUAACAAAGGAAUAAAAAGUGAUAUCCCUGGAAAAUUGAAUAAGACAUCAGUACAGUUAAAGAAGAAAUACCUGAAUAUUGACGCUACUGCCAUGGGAAAGACCCUGAAUAUGUGGACAG
rnacentral:lncRNA from 10 species